rnacentral:lncRNA from 1 species
AAAGAUCGGGUCGUCCACGGACAUCCUGACCAGGUUUCUUAUAUUAUCACUUGAGAGAGUCUCGCCUUAAACCCCCCCCCCCGGGCGGAACCCUUCGUGGACCCGAAUUGGCCUCCCCUCAACCCCCAGCCUGUCCCCUCGGCCCGGCCCGGUCCGCCGGCCACGUCUUCCUCUCUCUACCUUUGUGAAAUCAGAGCCUUCUAAGAAACCUGUCCUCCCGGCAGACCCAAACUCCCCUCUCAUAGAUCUUCUCUCUGACAGGCCCGGCUAAAACGGAGGAGGCAGAGCCGCCGGCCAGAUCAGUUGCCGGGCCACAGUCUGAUAAGGGUUUCUCCCCUGUCGCAGGGAGAUCGCGCAAUAAGCACGAGGUGGUGCCAGAUACAACCUCCCAGGCUUUCCCACUUAGACAGGGAACCGGUGGCCAGACCCAAUACUGGCCGUUUUCAGCAGCUGACAUUUACAAUUGGAAACAACACAACCCUUCUUUCUCCAAAGAUCCGGUGGCACUCACCGACCUAAUAGAAUCUGUUUUACUUACCCACCAGCCUACUUGGGAUGACUGCCAACAGCUCUUACAGGCCCUCUUAACCUCAGAAAAAAAACAAAGAGUGUUCCUAGAGGCCAGAAAGCAUGUUCUGGGAGAUGAUGGGCG